GCCCGCUUGGUGUAGCUCGGUCAGCAUUAAUGGCUGUCACCCAUUCGACGGGGGUUCAAAUCCCCCAGUGGGCG
rnacentral:tRNA from 1 species